CCUGGUAGCUCAGAGGUUAAAGCGUCUGCCUGCAAUGCUGGAGACCUGGGUUCAAUCCCUGGGUCAGGA
rnacentral:tRNA from 1 species